rnacentral:rRNA from 1 species
GUAACAGGAAGCAGCUUGCUGCUUCGCUGACGAGUGGCGGACGGGUGAGUAAUGUCUGGGAAACUGCCUGAUGGAGGGGGAUAACUACUGGAAACGGUAGCUAAUACCGCAUAACGUCGCAAGACCAAAGAGGGGGACCUUCGGGCCUCUUGCCAUCGGAUGUGCCCAGAUGGGAUUAGCUAGUAGGUGGGGUAACGGCUCACCUAGGCGACGAUCCCUAGCUGGUCUGAGAGGAUGACCAGCCACACUGGAACUGAGACACGGUCCAGACUCCUACGGGAGGCAGCAGUGGGGAAUAUUGCACAAUGGGCGCAAGCCUGAUGCAGCCAUGCCGCGUGUAUGAAGAAGGCCUUCGGGUUGUAAAGUACUUUCAGCGGGGAGGAAGGCGAUAAGGUUAAUAACCUUGUCGAUUGACGUUACCC